rnacentral:rRNA from 1 species
GACGAACGCUGGCGGCGUGCUUAACACAUGCAAGUCGAGCGAUGAAGCUCCUUCGGGAGUGGAUUAGCGGCGGACGGGUGAGUAACACGUGGGUAACCUGCCUCAUAGAGGGGGAUAGCCUUCCGAAAGGAAGAUUAAUACCGCAUAAGAUUGUAGUUUCGCAUGAAACAGCAAUUAAAGGAGCAAUCCGCUAUGAGAUGGACCCGCGUCGCAUUAGCUAGUUGGUGAGGUAACGGCUCACCAAGGCGACGAUGCGUAGCCGACCUGAGAGGGUGAUCGGCCACAUUGGGACUGAGACACGGCCCAGACUCCUACGGGAGGCAGCAGUGGGGAAUAUUGCACAAUGGGGGAAACCCUGAUGCAGCAACGCCGCGUGAGUGAUGAAGGUCUUCGGAUUGUAAAGCUCUGUCUUUGGGGACGAUAAUGACGGUACCCAAGGAGGAAGCCACGGCUAACUACGUG